GACAGAGGGUGCAAACGUUGUUCGGAAUUACUGGGCGUAAAGCGCGUGUAGGCGGCCCUGCAAGUCGGAUGUGAAAUCCCACGGCUCAACCGUGGAAGUGCAUUCGAAACUGCAGGGCUAGAGUCCUGGAGAGGAAGGUGGAAUGCUUGGUGUAGAGGUGAAAUUCGUAGAUAUCAAGCGGAACACCGGUGGCGAAGGCGGCCUUCUGGACAGUGACUGGCGCUGAGACGCGAAAGCGUGGGGAGCAAACAGG
rnacentral:rRNA from 1 species